UACGUAGGGGGCAAGCGUUGUCCGGAAUUAUUGGGCGUAAAGGGCGCGUAGGCGGCCAUGCGUGUCUUCCGUGAAAUCCCUCGGCUUAACUGAGGACGUGCGGAAGAAACUGCAAGGCUUGAGUCCGGGAGAGGGGGGUGGAAUUCCCAGUGUAGCGGUGAAAUGCGUAGAGAUCGGGAGGAACACCAGUGGCGAAGGCGGCCUUCUCGGGCAUUUC
rnacentral:rRNA from 1 species